GACGAACGCUGGCGGCGUGCUUAACACAUGCAAGUCGAACGGAAAGGCCCUGCUUGCCGGGUACUCGUGUGGCGAAAGGGUGAGUAACACGUGGGUGCUCUGUCCUCCACAUCGGGAUAAGAUUGGUAAACUGGGCCUAUUACAGGAUAGAAGCCAACUUUAGUGAGGGGGAUGGUAAGUAUUUUCGUUGUAGUAUGAGCUCGCGGCCUAUCAGCUAGUUGGUGGGGUAAUGGCCUACUAAGGAGGCGACGGGUAGCCGGCCUGAGAGGGUGUACGGCCACAUUGUGGCAGAGAUACGGGCCAGACUCCUACGGGGGGGAGAGGUGUGGAAUAUUGUACAAUGGGGGCGAGACUGAGGCGGCGACGCGGCGUGUGGGAUGAAAGCGUUCUGGUUGUAUACUCCUUUCUCAAGAGACGAGGCGUUAUAGUGACGGUACCUAGAGAAGAAGCACCGGCUAACUACGUG
rnacentral:rRNA from 1 species